UUAACUCAAAUUUGUAUGGAGUUGGAACGCUUGGCUACGUUUGCCGCUAGGGGCGCUGUUCCAACUGCAUACAACUUUGAGUUA
rfam:Bombyx mori DNA, contig: Bm_scaf32_contig19808, strain: p50T/Dazao, build 2, whole genome shotgun sequence.